CUAAAUGCACACAGUAAACUCAAGCUGUUUGGCACUGGCAGUUCAAAAUGAAACGUAACAACAAUUAAUUUUUUAAAUGCCAGUUGAAAAAUAAACUGACCAAUUUACCAGAUUUAUGACAGGUUAAACAAAGACAAAUGCUAUCCCGCACCGUUUUGCGGGAAAUUAUACCGCUCAAGCGGACUUUUUUACCGUUAGAUGAUCAAAUCAACCGUUAGAUUCGCAUUUAGGAAAGAACCCGCCAUUUUCCCUAAAGUUCAAGACUGUUAAAUCUGAAUUUUAACGUGAUCUAACGGUAAAAAAUCGCUUGAGCAGGAUAGCUACCCGCAAAAUGGUGCGGACAGCAUUGCUUUAAACAAAUGGAGCGAAUUAUGACAAUUUAAGAUUUAAAUGUAAGGUCGAUAAGCUUUCAAACAAAAAUAACAAAGCAAAAUGUCCCGAAGAAGAUGGACCUCGGGUAAUGUUCGUAUGCUUUCGAAGAAUUUUUUUUUACCGAAUCUGAAAAGUCUGGGCCCUGUUCGACAAAAAUCCCCAAGCCUAACUAAAUUUUGGAGACUAAUCCACAUCUAAUUUCCGAGUUCUGAUACACAUCCUAAUCUGAAUCCAAAAAAGAUUUGGAAAUACAACUUUAUUUUAAGAAUUAUUAGGGAACUGAACUAUAUAUAUAUAUAUAUAUGCAUACAUCUAAAUCUGACGUAAACACCAGAAGUUUAUAGACAAAACCUCCUCAACAGCGUUAACAAAGCUUUUUACAGAUAUAAUCAUGCCAACAGCAGAGAAGUAUUGUUUCAAACCAAGAACAACAAUGUAUCAUCGUUUCAGUGAGAUUAAUGAGAUCAAUGAAAGCAACAAGAUCAAAGUAAGAAUUCUGAGGAUUUGGUAUGCGAAACAGGUAUAUACGAGGGAGACACCGAGUUUGGACUUGUUCCUAGUCGAUGAAAACGAGAAUCUGCUACAUGCUACCAUUGAUAAAUAUCUCAUAGACAACUAUAUUUGAAUGCUGAGGAAAGGAGAGGUUUAUCUUAUAAGCAAUUUCGAGAUAUAUCAACUCGCCAACACUGAGCAUUACCGGCCAGUUUUAAAUGAUAACAAGAUGGAAUCAAUGAAAAUAAAAAAGUACGGAUAGUUGCUGGCAACACGUUUAAUUUUCCGGGACAUAAAUUCGAUUUCCUUGAACUCGAAAUUGUUCGCUCUCUAUUUGGAAAUGUUGUUUAUCUUAUAGAUGUGGGCGGGAGAUCAAUAUCUAUCUCGGAAAAGGAGCGAGUAACCAAGAAAGACACUAGGAACAGAUUACACCUAGGAACCGUAACUAGUAUAGUGACAUGAGGUACAUUCUUUGAUUUACCUAUAUCUUUUUG